ACCUGGUUGAUCCUGCCAGUAAUCAUAUGCUUGUCUCAAAGAUUAAGCCAUGCAUGUCUAAGUAUAAGUGUUUAUACGGCGAAACUGCGAAUGGCUCAUUAUAUCAGUUAUAAUCUACUUGAUUGAUUCUGUUACUUGGAUAACUGUAGGAAUUCUAGAGCUAAUACAUGCAAAAGGUCUGGAUGGGGGGCAACCUUCGGAAGGACGCGUUUACUAGAAAAGAACCAAUAUGGGGCGCAAGUUCCAUCUAACAGAUGAUUCAUAGUAAGACUUCACGCGAAUCGGAGGCUUAAGUCUCCGAUGAUGCAAACGAGUUUCUGCCCUAUCAACUUUCAACCGUAGUGUAGGGGACUACGGUGGUUGUAACGGGUACGGGGAAUUAGGGUUCGAUUCCGGAGAGGCCGCCUGAGAAACGGCGACCACUUCCAAGGAAGGCAGCAGGCGCGUAAAUUAUCCAAUCCCGAUUCGGGGAGAUAGUGACAAGAAAUACCGGUGUAGUGACCUACAUGGUUCUACGAUCGGAAUGAGUACAAUUCAAAAACAUUAGCGAGUAACAAUUGGAGGGCAAGUCUGGUGCCAGCAGCCGCGGUAAUUCCAGCUCCAAUAGUGUAUAUUAAAGUUGUUGCGGUUAAAAAGCUCGUAGUUGGACUUUGGGGUCGAGCGUUACAGACCCUCUCGGUUCUGCCGGGGGGAAUCAGUCUGGAUGUUUCUUCCUCUUUCUCGGAACGUUAACAGGGGUUCAUGGUUCGCCAUGUUCUCUUGGUUUCGCAGGAUUUACUUUGAAUAAAUUAGGGUGUUCAAAGCAGGCGCAACUCGCCUUGAAUACAUUAGCAUGGGAUAAUAGAAUAUGACCUUUGGUCUACUUAUUGGUUUCUAAGGCCAAGGUAAUGAUUAAUAGGGAUAGUUGAGGUCGCUCGUAUUCAAUGGUCAGAGGUGAAAUUCUAAGACCCAUUGAGGACGAACAAAUGCGAAGGCAUUCGACAAGGAUGUUUUCAUUAAUCAAGAACGAAAGUUGUGGGAUCGAAGAUGAUUAGAUACCGUCGUAGUCACAACCGUAAACUAUGUCGACUCAGGAUCCGGGGAUGUUACAUGGAUGACUCUCCGGGCACUGUGUGCGAAAGCAUAAGUAUUCUGACUCCGGGGGGAGUAUGGUCGCAAGGCUGAAACUUAAAGGAAUUGACGGAAGGGCACCACCAGGAGUGGAACCUGCGGCUUAAUUUGACUCAACACGGGGAAACUUACCCAGUCCGGACACAACGAGGAUUGACAGAUUGAUAGCUCUUUCUUGAUUUUGUGGAAGCCGGUGCAUGGCCGUUUUUAGUUGGUGGAGUGAUUUGUCUGGUUUAGUCCGAUAACGAACGAGACCAUAAUCUGCUAAAUAGUGUCGUUAACAAGGAGACUUACGGGGCGGUCGGGUUUACUCGGCAGUUUCGUGGGUUUCCACUAAAUUGUUGGCGAAAGAUUUACUUCUUAGAGAGACUCUUGAUGAUGCAAAAAUCAAUGGAAGAAUAUGGCAAAAACAGGUCUGUGAUGCCGCUCGAUGUCUGGGGCUGCACGCGCGUUACACUGAGAUGUUCAACAAGUAUUAUUCAUGACCUGGCCCGAAGGGGUUCAGGUAAUCUCGAAAGCAUUUCGUGAUGGGGAUUGUGCCUUGAAACUAUUGCACAUGAACGAGGAAUUCCUAGUAAGGGUAGGUCAUCAACCUGCCCUGAUUACGUCCCUGCCCUUUGUACACACCGCCCGUCGCUUCUACCGAUCGAAUUGCUCGAUGAGGACUCGGGAUGAGGGGGUAACUCGUAGGCUGAAAGGUCUGCGCGUCCUCUUCAGAACCUGUUCGAAUCUCGUAAUUUAGAGGAAGAAGAAGUCGUAACAAGGUCUCCGUAGGUGAACCUGCAGAAGGAUCA
rnacentral:rRNA from 1 species